AGAAAGUUAGUCUAACCAAGACAGUUGAUUUCGGCUCAACAAAUCGCAGAAACCCCUGCGACUUUCUU
rnacentral:tRNA from 1 species